CCUACGGGUGGCAGCAGUGAGGAAUAUUGGUCAGUGGACGAGAGUCUGAACCAGCCAAGUAGCGUGAAGGAUGACUGCCCUAUGGGUUGUAAACUUCUUUUAUAUGGGAAUAAAAUGUUCCACGUGUGGGAUUUUGUAUGUACCAUAUGAAUAAGGAUCGGCUAACUCCGUGCCAGCAGCCGCGGUAAUACGGAGGAUCCGAGCGUUAUCCGGAUUUAUUGGGUUUAAAGGGAGCGUAGGUGGAUUGUUAAGUCAGUUGUGAAAGUUUGCGGCUCAACCGUAAAAUUGCAGUUGAAACUGGCAGUCUUGAGUACAGUAGAGGUGGGCGGAAGUCGUGGUGUAGCGGUGAAAUGCUUAGAUAUCACGAAGAACUCCGAUGGCGAAGGCAGUUCACUGGACUGCAACUGACACUGAGGCUCGAAAGUGUGGGUAUCAAACAGGAUUAGAUACCCCUGUAGUC
rnacentral:rRNA from 1 species